CAGACCAGCUCCUCUGUCCCCUCCCCCUCCCAGCUCCCCGGGAGAGGGAGCAGGAGUCCACAUGGGGCGGUGACUCACGGAGAGGUGGAGGAGAGCCCCGAGGCAGCCCCCACCCCGCUUAGAUCCGCGCCGGGACCUCCGUGUCCCCGUGUGUAAAACGGGGGAGGUGUGUGCUAUCCACCACCUCCCCAGCCGGUGGGGCCGGCCCGGCAAGGUCGCAGCUGCCCGGGAACCCUGCCCAGAAAAGGGGAAGCACUCCUGGGGGAAGAGGGACGCCGAGGAUGUCAGUUCACUACCGUGAGCCCUCAGGGGCCCUGCCAGCCGCAUCAGGGGGUGCUGAGCCUCGCGGACUCUUUCCCCGCUCAGCUUCAAGAUGCACUCCUGGCCUCCUUCAACUCUUCCCUAAAUGGUCAAGUGUCAGUGCAUCUCCUCUUGGCUACCUUUGGGUGAGUUCCGUCCAAGGCAGGAGUUGGGUCCCCGGGAAUGGCACAGGGCUGGCACACUGAAGACAGGACGUGCUUAAGUGCAUAAAUACCCAGGAAAGGCGGGCUCAAGCGAGUAGGGGCCGAAUGUGCAAAGGACCUGAGGUACGAAACUAUGUUUGUAGUUCAACGUGUUGUGUUGGAGGGAACAGGAAAGCCGUCUUGUGGUUCCCAUCAGGAGAAUGACAUGGUGCCUCUGGCUCUGUGUGAACCCAGCUGUUUGGAGGACAGGGGAGGAGGCUGGGCCAUGCAAACCGGUGAUAGUGGCCGUAGUGGCCCCACUGAGUGGACAAGCCACGCCGACGGGGGUCCACUGGCCAUCUCCAGGGUAACCCUAGGUUUGGGGCCUUUACCCAUUGGCCAUCCUGGAGCAGGAAUGGGAGAGAAAUUGUCCAGUGGAUGGGUUCGAGAAGCCGACUGAUUCGGUAGAUUAGGCUUGCCUCCAUGUGGGGUCCGGAGCUCUGGGAACGGGUGGGACUGCGCACAGGACUCACCCCUAGAAAUGCGAAUGGGGCUUCUCUCUGCACACGCACACCCUGGGCCAGGAUGCCCCGACUCUCCCUCACAGCGCCGGCCCAGAGGGGGCGGGGGUCAGGGCACUAAGCCUGGGUCCUUCCUCUGUGUUGGCCGCAGGCGGCCCAGAUACUGGAAAGCAGAGAGCUAGGGCGCAGGCAGCCCCUGGGGUUGGGGAGCCACCGGGGCAACACCGCGCCGCAACGCACCUGCCCAGACCCGGGCCCGAGUGACGCUACCUCCCCUGUGGCUUGCACCCCUCCGCCCUCA